GAUGAACGCUGGCGGCGUGCCUAAUACAUGCAAGUCGAGCGAAUGGAUUAAGAGCUUGCUCUUAUGAAGUUAGCGGCGGACGGGUGCGUAACACGUGGGUAACCUGCCCAUAAGACUGGGAUAACUCCGGGAAACCGGGGCUAAUACCGGAUAACAUUUUGAACCGCAUGGUUCGAAAUUGAAAGGCGGCUUCGGCUGUCACUUAUGGAUGGACCCGCGUCGCAUUAGCUAGUUGGUGAGGUAACGGCUCACCAAGGCAACGAUGCGUAGCCGAGCUGAGAGGGUGAUCGGCCACACUGGGACUGAGACACGGCCCAGACUCCUACGGGAGGCAGCAGUAGGGAAUCUUCCGCAAUGGACGAAAGUCUGACGGAGCAACGCCGCGUGAGUGAUGAAGGCUUUCGGGUCGUAAAACUCUGUUGUUAGGGAAGAACAAGUGCUAGCUGAAUAAGCUGGCACCUUGACGGUACCUAACCAGAAAGCCACGGCUAACUACGUGCCAGCCGCCGCGGUAA
rnacentral:rRNA from 1 species